rnacentral:lncRNA from 1 species
UGGUGGAGGGGAACUAGAUGGUUGUGGUGGUGUAGCUUGGUAUGGAGGUGGACUAGGUUGACUAUAGGUGGGAGGUGCAGUGGGUGCACUUGGUGGUGGUGGAGGCAAAUUGUUGGUUGGAGGACUAGAUUGUGGUGGCAUGGGAGAUUUGUAUGGAGGCAUGGUAGGAGGGAUAGAGGGUGAGAGCGGUGGCUGGUUAUUUGGCGGAGGUGUGGUUGGGGUACUUGAAGGUGGUGGAGGGGAACUAGAUGGUUGUGGUGGUGUAGCUUGGUAUGGAGGUGGACUAGGUUGAGUGUAGGUUGGAGGUGCAGUGGGUGCACUUGGUGAUGGUGGAGGCAAAUUGUUGGUUGGAGGACUAGAUAGUGGUGGCACGGGAGAUUUGUACGGAGGCAUGGUAGGAGGGAUAGAGGGCGAGAGUGGUGGCUGGUUAUUUGGUGGAGGUGUGGUUGGGGUACUUGAAGGUGGUGGCAGGGAACUAGAUGGUUGUGGUGGUGUAGCUUGAUGUGGAGGUGGACUAGAAUGCAAUGGAGGUGGUUGACUAUAGGUUGGAGGUGCAAUGGGUGGACUCGACGGUGGUGGUGGCAAAUUGUUGGUUGGAGGACUAGAUUGUGGUGGCAUGGUAGGAGGGCUAGAGGGCGACGGGGUUGGUUGGUGAUUUGGUGGAUAUGUUGGAGGUGUGGUUGGGGUACUUGAAGGUGGUGGAGGGGAACUAGAUUGUUGUGGUGGUGUGGCUUGGUGUGGAG